CGCAUCUGUGCAUGCAGCAUAUAAUAAGCGGAGGAAAAGCGCAUUAAAGAUCCAGAUACCUACGCUUAGGAUGUUGACGAGACUGUCGAUCUCAUCUAUACAUGACUCUGUGCAUAUCAAUAAGCGGAGGAAAAGAAACUAACUAAGGAUUCCCUUAGUAACGGCGAGUGAAGCGGGAAGAGCUCAAAUUUGAAAUCUUCAAGGUUCUACCUUGACGAAUUGUAGUUUAAAGAAGUGUUUUCUGUUGAGGUUUUGGUAAAAGUUCUUUGGAAUAGGACAUCAUAGAGGGUGAGAAUCCCGUAUUUGACCAUUACUCUCCAGCUUUGUGAUACACUUUCAAAGAGUCGGAUUGUUUGGGAACUGCAGUCCAAAAUGGGUGGUAAAUUUCAUCUAAAGCUAAAUACUGGCGAGAGACCGAUAGCGAACAAGUACCGUGAGGGAAAGAUGAAAAGAACUUCGAAAAGAGAGUUAAACAGUACGUGAAAUUGUCAAAAGGGAAGCGUUUGACACCAGUGUUGUUUUCUCGAAAAUCAAUUAAAAAUGGUGGGAUUUUGUGUUGUAUUGACUUUAUCAGCUUUCUGCACUUUUUUCCUGUCUUUUUUAAUGCACUUUUCGUUUAACAAGUCAACAUCAAUUUCUUUUGCUGUAAAAGGGUCAUUGGAAGGUGGCUUUCUUUUCGGAGAAAGUGUUUAUAGCCUUUGACUUCUGCAGUCGGAGAGAUUGAGGUCUGCAGCGUAGAUCCUUCGGGGUUAGAUGCAUUUGUGCUAAGUUAUAGCCUUUCAUAGACAACUUGUUGACUAUGAUCAGUCAUGUAGCUUACUCGCUUAUGUUAUUUUACCUACGCUUAGGAUGUUGACGAUCAGCUGAGCGCG
rnacentral:rRNA from 1 species